rnacentral:rRNA from 1 species
AUUGAACGCUGGCGGCAGGCUUAACACAUGCAAGUCGAGCGGAGCGAGGGUGCUUGCACCUUAGCUUAGCGGCGGACGGGUGAGUAAUGCUUAGGAAUCUGCCUAUUAGUGGGGGACAACAUUCCGAAAGGGAUGCUAAUACCGCAUACGCCCUACGGGGGAAAGCAGGGGAUCUUCGGACCUUGCGCUAAUAGAUGAGCCUAAGUCGGGUUAGCUAGUUGGUGGGGUAAAGGCCUACCAAGGAGACGAUCUGUAGCGGGGCUGAGAGGAUGAUCCGCCACACUGGGACUGAGACACGGCCCAGACUCCUACGGGAGGCAGCAGUGGGGAAUAUUGGACAAUGGGCGGAAGCCUGAUCCAGCCAUGCCGCGUGUGUGAAGAAGGCCUUUUGGUUGUAAAGCACUUUAAGCGAGGAGGAGGCUCUUAAGGUUAAUACCCUUGAUGAGUGGACGUUACUCGCAGAAUAAGCACCGGCUAACUCUGUGCCAGCCGCCGCAGUAAUAC